CCUGGGAUGAAAAAGGUCGGACGAAGAUUACCCAAAUAUUAAUAUCUUAUGGAACCAACUACAUUAACUCCUUGCAAUUUCAAUAUGCUGAAGAUGGAAAAUUGGUGCUUUCAGAGUUGCAUGGGAGGCAUAUUGGUGGAACCUUCAAAAUGGAGUCAUUACAACUCAAUGGAAGGGAAUUCAUCAUAGGGCUGACUGGUUACCAUGAGUCCGGUUAUGUAAAAUCUUUAACAAUCAAAACGAAUCUAUGGAAGUAUGGACCAUUUGGGCGUGAUAAUUCAAGAGACUCUUCCGGCAGUUUUAACUUGAAGUUUGGGCCGGGUAAUCGUUUCGGCGGGUUCCAUGGUUGUUUCUCAAGUGAUGCGCAGCUCACCUCCAUUGGAGUUUAUAUCAAGCCUACUCAUAGCUAGGUUGGUGAAUGGUGUCAAAUGUUUGCUGAUUCAUUUCAGAGGCCGGUCUUCUAUUCUCAGUAUUGCUUAUUGCUUA